UCCAAAUCUCUCCAAAUCAAUUUGGAAGGUUCCGAUUCAAUUCGGAGAGAUUAAAGGAUCUUCUGAUUCAAUUCGGAUUCAGAGAUUCGGCCACCGAAUCGGGCCAAAUCUCCGCCAAAUCAAAUCAGGGACUAAAGCUUUGCACAGCCCUACCAGCUAGGGCUGUACCUAAGCACAUACAUUAAGUCAGGUACUUGCUUAACUGUUUUGCUAAAUUGGAGGUAUAAAGCUGGAAAUAAAAGGAGCCAGAGUCCUCACUACAGGAUGACCCUUCCUAAGUUUAGGGAGUAGACAUGUUCCUGAAAAUUAAAUUGUGCAGUUAAAUUUAUCUCCAGGCAAUUGUAUCAUGGUUGGCUGAUGUGCACAACAGAAAAUCAAGAGCUUUAGUGAUAUAACCCAUAUUACAAGAAUAAUAGUUUCAAUGCUCAUGCACUACAAAAAAUCCCAUGCUCCAUUUAUGUUUCAAUUCCCCUAUGUCUCUCAUAUAGUAACCUAGGGCAAUUAUGAAAUACAGGAUACAAUACCUGUUUCAAUUUUGUAGGAUUCCACUUUCCAGACUCCAGUGAAAUAGAACAUGCACUUAGUGGCCUUCUAUGCCAGUAGUUCUGCCCCCCAUGGGAACAGAAUAAGAUUUUCUUCAUCUUGCCAUAUGAGGAUCUACCAUGCAGGCCUCAACUGUUUAUGCAAGACUUUGCACCAAUCACAACAGCAGAAAGAAUGUGAAAGGUAACAGGUGCUUUUGUCAUGGAAGCUGGCAACAUCAGGGGAUCUUAAGGAGUGCUCUAGGCUACAGUGAGUGAUGGUUCAGCUAUUUCAUGAGGUUCAAAUGGGACAAAUAGUUAUGAAGGACAUAAAUUGUAUACAGGGUAUUAGCCAACUAAGAUGUUUGCUUUAUUCAUUAUUCCUUCAUGAAGCUUAUGCGAGCUUUUGCUGAAUAAACACAUUGUCUUAUUGACUUCCUUCAAUGCCCUCCUUUCCCAUGGUAUAAUUGUUAACUUGCAAGGUCCUGGGGGUAUGUCUUGUUAGCUGUAUUGAAAGGUGUAUAAAAUACUCCUGAGGACUGUAAGUUACAAUUACUGUUAAUAUGGUAAUAUUCAGCUUAUGUUACCACAGAAUAUACACAUCACUUGAAUCCCUUUCUCAUACUCCAUUAUUCAGCUCUGUAUUUUAUCUGAGAUGGUUGAUAAAUAGCAUGUAGAUAAUGAAGAUGUCUUACUGUAGAAGAAAAUCCUGAGGGUACUUAACAUUGUGAUGAACAGAAGUAUAAGUGGAUUAUAACAACAGCAUGAAAAAAGACUAGGUUUCAUACUAGAAAAAGAUGUUGAAAAUGCAAGAAAAAUUGUAAAUUAAUUUACCAGUCACAAAUAUUUUAAAUGCUUUUUUAUAUCUAUUAAUCCUUAAUGGUAUUCAGAGUUGAGACGAAAAUCUUGUACCCAGACAAGACUGUACCCACCUGGACUGUGAAGAAGUCUGGAACUGAAAGCUACAACCUUACUCAAGUUUGAAGGACCACUAGGGAUUGUGUUGAAUCGGGAGCUGUGUGGUGCCCUGACUGUAAUGAGAAAUGAGAAAACUGCUGAAAAAUUGAUGCCGCCUGCAGAUUGCACAAUCCACUGAACAGCAGGGGGUCGGCUUCUUACAUCUCCCACUCUCGCUACAAUAUGCUAAUUUCGCCACGCAGACGAGUGUAAAAGGAAAGAAGAAAAGAUUUCACAAAAGGAAAAAAAUGCAAAUGACAACCGCAAAGAUCACUGCAGAGAAAUCCAUGAGCUUUAUAUGGAUUAACUGCUGGAGCUAGUGCUCGCCUGAGUUUAACCCUUUCUGUCCUAGAACCUUUGACAUCUCUCCUUUGUGGUGCAGUGGAACCCUUAAGACUUCUUUGUGGGGGAAGAGGAAAGCAAGGGCAGUGGGAAACUGGAAGGAGGGAAUAGUUUUUCAUGACAGCACUCCCUUCGUUUUAACAUUGGUAUAAAGACUUGAAGUACCAGUUCCAGUGAAUAAAAAUGGGAGAUGAGAAGGACCAAAAGGACUCUAUCCCCACUUCAAAUACAUCCAAAUCCUUCAUCUCUUGAGAGUGCCAAUGACCUUCCUUACCCAAGGUCAUCUGAAGAAACUUUCAAUAUUUCAGCUAACCAUAACACUGGUCACAUGCCAGAGUGAACAUAAGGCCUCUUUUGCAUGUUUGUGAAUCAUGAUAAAAACAUGUUAAUUUUUACUAAUCUAUUCACCAUUCGCAGCCAGCUGCAAAGUGUUUUCUUCCCUUGCUUCAUUCAUUAUUCCUGGUAUGUGGUAGGGCUGUGUGAAGCUUCAGUCGCUGAUUCGAUUCGGUGGAGAUUCGGUCUGAUUCAGCAGCCGAAUCUCUGAAUACAAAUCAAAUAGAAGACCCAUUAAUCUCUCUGAAUCGAAUCAAUUCGAUUCAGAGAGAUUCAACAAUUAGGACAUAGACCCAGCUUUAUAUGUUUUUUCAACAUACCUCAAGGUACUAAGCGGCU